GAACACGUAGAGAAGAAAUUCUUUUUUUUUCUUUGAAGGUUGGAAGUGUGGGUGUGAAACAUCUUAUCUCAGUCCUGAGACGAAUAUCUUAUGUCAUGAAUGGGUGAUCAGUAACUGCGCGUCUGGUUACGAUCUAGGUGUGUCCG
rnacentral:tRNA from 1 species